AGAAGAACUUGAAGUGGCUUGGCUUGGAUUCACCAUUGUUGAGUUUUAGAAAGCUAAAGAGAGGUUUUCUGAGAGAAGGAAGAAAGCUCAAAGGUUCGAAUUUCAAAUCAGUAGGUAAAACCGUCAAAUUUGGUGAAGUUUAUCUUUUAUACUGACGGUUACACGUGGAGCGAGGCCGGCGCAUUUAAUGUCAGUAAUGAUGAGAAUUAAAGUGGAAUGCGUUUGGAUGACCUUUGAAUAUCUUAUCAGAUUGGGCCUGACUGUUGGAUUUCUAUCUUAUUGGCCCAUCCUGUUCAAAUUCAAAUCCUUUAUCAGAUUGGGCUUAUUGCUCUGGGUAUCCACUAUCCAGCCCUCCCUUAUUCCACUUCGUAUGUUAAAAGUGGGUAUGAUUCACUUAUUUCCUAUCCUUGGGCCUUUAUUAAAUUCUAAAUAUCAUGAAUCAUAUAUAGUUUUCCAUUAAACAUCUUGUUUAACUAAAAAACUAGGGGGUAAUGUUGGGUCAUGAUAUUUCUCCUAUUUUGGGCCGGGUAUAUUGGGCCCAUUUAUCAGUUUAAUCUGUUGGGCUUUUAUAAUUAAGCCAUGGGACUCUUUGAGCCCAUUUAUUGUGUCAACUUUAUUUAAUCCUAUUGGACCGGGUCGGUUCGUUGGAUUAACCCAUUGGGUCAUUUAAUAUCUAUUACUUUGACUUGUAAUGAUGAUAUAGUAUGACAGUUGACCAAGAUAUUUGCCAUGCAUUAAUGUGGAUGGGAUUAUAGUCGGCCGGCGGUGCAAACAGUGGCCAAGAGCAGUGGAUGAACUCCAUGCAGUCGGUCGAACCCAUCAGGUCAGGGGGAUAUGUCAGGUGAUAGUGGGCGGCACGAUAAUCCAAGCAAGGAUAUUAUUUCUUAGUGAGUAAGUCUUCACAAGGAGGUACGUUUCAUUCAUAUAUACACAUUCACACAACUCAUAAAUAAUCACUCUCAAUACACUAAAUUCUAUUAUCCUCUUGAGUUAACUUUGUGAACAGACAUACUUACUCUUACGCCUGAGCUAUCCCCCGGCGGUCCAGCCGUCAAGUUUGUGGUGUUUGUCGUGUUUACUGUGCAGGAUCAGGACGUCUUUCGUGAUUGGGACGUGGAGAAAGAUCUUGGCGUUAACAA
rnacentral:lncRNA from 1 species